GUUUAAAUGUUUAGCUGUCAGUUCUGUGUGAUAUCAGUGCAAAUCCUUAGGUAGCAUGUUUUACAUAACAAACUUCACCUUAAACCACGGUGCGUGUUCAAGUGUGCAUUUUUACCGUAAACAAAAUAGAUUCACGUGUUGCUACUCCACAUGCCCUUGCUGUCACAAAACUAGAAGUUUUGAGAGUACAGAAAUGGUUGCUCAGAGGAUGUGAAAGGCAUGAUUCUUCUACCUCUCUCCUGUUUUGAUGAGAAAGAGGAGCUCCUCCAUUAUGUAGAAGAGACAAGCCUGGCAAAGGAUGUGGAGUUAGAAAACCUGCCUGUGACGCCUUGCAUUAUUGUGUGUGUGGACCCUCCUGCUAUGCUGCUGUCCGAUUCAUGCUAGCUGUGGACCGCAAGAUUGUGAAUGAUGACAUCACUUCUUUCAUCUCUGCUGUUUGCCUAAUGUUCUGCAGUUAUUACUGCUCCAAAAUUAACUACCCUACUGAACUGGCGUCAGUGCUUGAAUUCCUGCAAAGGUGUUUUUUUCAUCAUCAAUCCGGAGAAAGGGAAUAAAGGAGGUGGAAAAGAAAAACAAAAAGCUACUCCCAGUCUUCACCCUAAUCGCUGACCUUUCUGAUCAUGAAUGGCGAGAGACUUUGUAAAGGUGGUCUGCAGACUGUUUCCAAGUUUAUACUCGGGGUGAGAGACUUUGUAAAGGUGGCCUACAGACUGUUUCCAAGUUUUAAUCUCUUAAAGGGUUAUUUCAGGCUUGAAUCAAAUUUUCCCCAUGUUUUACUUACCCUCAAGGCAUCCUAAGUGAA